AUUGAACGCUGGCGGCAGGCUUAACACAUGCAAGUCGAGCGGUAACAGAGAGAAGCUUGCUUCUCUGCUGACGAGCGGCGGACGGGUGAGUAAUGCCUAGGAAUCUGCCUAGUAGUGGGGGAUAACUUGCCGAAAGGUAAGCUAAUACCGCAUACGUCCUACGGGAGAAAGGAGGGGAGCUUCGGGCCUUUCGCUAUUAGAUGAGCCCAGGUCGGAUUAGUUAGUUGGUGAUGUAAUGGCUCACCAAGACCGCGAUCCGUAACUGGUCUGAGAGGAUGAUCAGUCACACUGGAACUGAGACACGGUCCAGACUCCUACGGGAGGCAGCAGUGGGGAAUAUUGGACAAUGGGGGGAACCCUGAUCCAGCCAUGUCGCGUGUGUGAAGAAGGUCUUAGGAUUGUAAAGCACUUUAAGUUGGGAGGAAGAGCAGUUAACUAAUAUUUGACUGUUUUGACGUUACCGACAGAAUAAGCACCGGCUAACUUCGUGCCAGCCGCCGCGGUAA
rnacentral:rRNA from 1 species